rnacentral:misc_RNA from 1 species
UUAACUAUUAUAUAGUACUCAGACAAUAUGAUUAAACAAGAGUUUUAGGUUCUCUGGCAGGCGCGGACCAGCCGAAGCCAGUGGUCACAAGGACGGGCCUGCCAAAGCAACAAAGGUAAUGUAAACAAAGGGUGGAGUAUUAGGGUGUAAGCCCAUAAUGACUCUUUAAUGAUCCUUCCGCAGGUUCACCUACGGAAA